GACAAAUAAAUAACCAGACAAACAGGGCAGCUGUUAACAGAAAUCAGUGGAAGCAGUUACAAUGUCUGUUUAUGGCCAGAAUCACUUUACUUGGAAUGGUACUCUGAGAGAUCUGCAUGUCAGCUAUACAGGCUUCUGCACAGGACGAGGUCGACCAAGUAUGACGGCCACCUUAAGCUCCUCCAGCGGCUUAGAGGUCCUCCUUUCCACUCUGCAGAAUGUAGGGGAUGUGGAGAGCACCUUAAAUAUCCUCAGUGUCUUGGAUGAACUUCUGUCAGCUGGUAAGAUCAUCUUCUCACCAUUUGGUUUCCAUCCUUACGUAAAAAGUUGUUGUGCUAUGGAAAAUGCCA
ensembl:lncRNA